UUGAUAACACUGGAGACUGAAGUCCUUAUUUAUCCAUCAAAUAGGGCAGCAAUAACUCAAGCUUCCUUGCACUGCUCUGCUGUCAUUCCUCAGCCCUGAAGAGGCUCCCUCUAAAGGUUGAGCAGGUAGUUCAGUCUCUAUUUCCAUUCAGUACUUGGUCUCU
ensembl:misc_RNA